AACUUUUAACAAUGGAUCUCUUGGUUCCCGCAUCGAUGAAGAACGCAGCGAAAUGCGAUAAGUAAUGUGAAUUGCAGAAUUCGGUGAAUCAUCGAAUCUUUGAACGCACAUUGCGCCUUUUGGUAUUCCGAGAGGCAUGUCUGUUUGAGCGUCAUGAACAAACCUCGGGUGCCAGUUUUGCAGCUGAAACCCGGUCCUGAGCCUGCGGGGUCAAACCCGUGGCUUCAAAAGCGCAAGUUAGCGAGCCGUCUCCCGUAACCGCAAGCGUAGUAAAGCUUUUGCCUCGCCUGGUACGUGAUGACCCGUUCCGCCUUGAGAGCACCAUGACACUUUUGACCUCAGAUCAGACAAGGAUACCCGCUGAACUUAAGCAUAUCAAUAAGCGGAGGCU
rnacentral:misc_RNA from 1 species